rnacentral:rRNA from 1 species
GGUUGCGAUCAUACCAGCACUAAUGCACCGGAUCCCAUCAGAACUCCGUAGUUAAGCGUGUUUGGGCGAGAGUAGUACUAGGAUCGGUGACCCCCUGGGAAGUCCACGUGUUACAACCC